AAGAGACAGAAGGAUUAAGGAUCUCAUUAAAGUGUUUGGAGCUAAUAAGUGGCAGAGCUGAAAUUUGAACCCAGGGAAUUUCAGAAAAUGAGCCUGACUUUCUUAACUGCUAAGCUGUACUAGACAAUUCUUAAUUUCCCAUUACACUCUCUCCCUGUGUGAAGGACUGUGGACCAUGAACCAUUGGGACACAGCAGGAUUUAAGGGGAUGUGGAUGCCUGGACAAUGAAACCAAAGAUGGAAGUCUGCCCUCUGAAAUGGCCUAUGAAAGAAUGACACUCCAGUAGUGAUGACCACAUCUAAUUCCUACCAGAAGGAACUAGGACUUCUUGGAGAAAUAGGCAAUCGUCAGUCUGGAGCAG